rfam:Xenorhabdus khoisanae strain MCB contig050, whole genome shotgun sequence.
UCCUUAUGAUGAUGGACAUCUUAGGGAGCCAGUGCAAACGCAACAGUUUUGUAAGGCUCCCAUAUUAACCUUUAGGGAUAUCGCCUCACAGGUCUGUUGCGUGUGCUUUUAUUUGAUGAAUUCUAACUGAAUUGGUAGCACAUGAACUCCAUAAUAACGAACCGAUUACAACGUAAGCUAGGAUAUAACUUUACAC